rnacentral:tRNA from 1 species
AAAAAGAUAAGCUAAGCUAAAGCUAAUGGGCUCAUACCCCAUCCAUGUGAAUUUUUCACUCUUUUUU